CAGCAGCCAACGCUGUCUGUGAUUGAUUGGUUCUGUCUUUCAGCAUUUCCGUGUGUUCUGAUGAGCAGGAGAAAUAGUUCUAUCCAACACCAUUGUUCACUAGUAUAGUCU